AGAGUUUGAUCAUGGCUCACAACGUACGCUGGCGGCACGCCUAACACAUGCAAGUCGAACGAAGUAGCAAUACUUAGUGGCAGACGGGUGAGUAACAUGUGGGUAUCUGCCCUUUGGCCUGGAAUAACACGAGGAAACUUGUGCUAAUACCGGAUAAGUCUUUACGGAGAAAGCUUUAUGCACCAUUGGAUGAGCCCGCACUUGAUUAGUUUGUUGGUGGGGUAAUGGCCUACCAAGACUUUGAUCAAUAGCUGAUUUGAGAGGAUGAUCAGCCACAUUGGGACUGAGACACGGCCCAAACUCCUACGGGAGGCAGCAGUGGGGAAUCUUGCACAAUGGAGGAAACUCUGAUGCAGCGAUGCCGCGUGAGUGAAGAAGGCCCUUGGGUUGUAAAGCUCUUUCGUCGGGGAAGAAAAUGACUGUACCCGAAUAAGAAGGUCCGGCUAACUUCGUGCCAGCAGCCGCGGUAAUACGAAGGGACCUAGCGUAGUUCGGAAUUACUGGGCUUAAAGAGUUCGUAGGUGGUUGAAAAAGUUGGUGGUGAAAUCCCAGAGCUUAACUCUGGAACUGCCAUCAAAACUUUUCAGCUAGAGUUUGAUAGAGGAAAGCAGAAUUUCUAGUGUAGAGGUGAAAUUCGUAGAUAUUAGAAAGAAUACCAAUUGCGAAGGCAGCUUUCUGGAUCAUUACUGACACUGAGGAACGAAAGCAUGGGUAGCGAAGAGGAUUAGAUACCCUCGUAGUCCAUGCUGUAAACGAUGUGUGUUAGACGUUGGAAAUUUAUUUUCAGUGUCGCAGCGAAAGCGAUAAACACACCGCCUGGGGAGUACGACCGCAAGGUUAAAACUCAAAUGAAUUGACGGGGACCCGCACAAGUAGUGGAGCAUGUGGUUUAAUUCGAAGAUACGCGCAGAACCUUACCAACACUUGACAUGUUCGUCGCGACUUUAAGAGAUUAAAGUUUUCGGUUCGGCCGGACGAAACACAGGUGCUGCAUGGCUGUCGUCAGCUCGUGUCGUGAGAUGUUGGGUUAAGUCCCGCAACGAGCGCAACCCUCACUUUUAGUUGCCAUCAUUAAGUUGGGCACUCUGAAAGAACUGCCAGUGAUAAGCUGGAGGAAGGUGGGGAUGACGUCAAGUCCUCAUGGCCCUUACGUGUUGGGCUACACACGUGCUACAAUGGUAUCUACAACAGGAAGCGAAACAGCGAUGUUAAGCAAAUCCUUAAAAGAUAUCUCAGUUCGGAUUGCACUCUGCAACUCGAGUGCAUGAAGCUGGAAUUACUAGUAAUCGUGGAUCAGCGUGCCACGGUGAAUGCGUUCCCG
rnacentral:rRNA from 1 species